rnacentral:lncRNA from 1 species
GGCUCUGGAGAUUGCAGACUUCAGCGGGAACCCCCUCUCCAGGCUUCCCGAUGGCUUCACACAGCUGCGCAGCCUGGCUCACCUGGCUCUGAAUGAUGUGUCCCUGCAGGCACUGCCUGGAGAUGUGGGCAACCUGGCCAAUUUGGUGACCUUGGAACUGCGGGAGAACCUGCUUAAAUCUCUCCCUGCGUCCCUGUCUUUCCUUGUGAAGCUAGAACAGCUGGAUCUGGGAGGCAAUGACCUGGAAGUGCUGCCUGACACUCUGGGGGCUCUGCCUAACCUACGGGAGCUGUGGCUAGACCGAAACCAACUGUCAGCGCUGCCCCCGGAGCUAGGCAACCUGCGGCGGCUGGUAUGCCUGGACGUGUCAGAGAACAG